rnacentral:rRNA from 1 species
UAGAGAAUACCAAGGCGAUCGGGAGAACUGUGGUUAAGGAACUCGGCAAAAUGCCUCCGUAACUUCGGGAGAAGGAGGACCCCAUUAGGGUGAAGGACCUCGCGUCCCGAGCUCGAAGGGGUGGCACAGACCAGGGGAAAGCGACUGUUUACUAAAAACACAGCAGCGUGCGAAGUCGCAAGACGAUGUAUACGCUGUGACGCCUGCCCAAUGCCGGAAGGUUAAAGGGAAAGGUUAGUCCGCAAGGGCGAAGCUUUGAACCGAAGCCCCGGUGAAUGGCGGCCGUAACUAUAACGGUCCUAAGGUAGCGAAAUUCCUUGUCGGGUAAGUUCCGACCUGCACGAAUGGCGUAACGACUUUCCUACUGUCUCAACCACAGACCCGGCGAAAUUGAAGUACGAGUAAAGAUGCUCGUUAGCUACAGAAGGACGGUAAGACCCCGUGGACCUUUACUAUAGCUUGAUGUUGAGUUUUGUUAUGUGUUGUGUAGGAUAGGUGGGAGACUUGGAAGCAUUGGCGCCAGCCAGUGUGGAGUCAACCUUGAAAUACCACCCUGCUCAUGACGGAGCUCUAACCCACGUCCCUGAUCGGGAUGGGGAACAGCGUCUGGUGGGUAGUUUGACUGGGGCGGUCGCCUCCUAAAGAGUAACGGAGGCGCCCAAAGGUUCCCUCAGGCUGGUUGGCAAUCAGCCGUCGAGUGCAAUGGCACAAGGGAGCUUGACUGCGAGACCUACAAGUCAAGCAGGUGCGAAAGCAGGGCAUAGUGAUCCGGCGGUUGCGUGUGGAAGCGCCGUCGCUCAACGGAUAAAAGGUACCCCGGGGAUAACAGGCUCAUCUUCCCCAAGAGUCCAUAUCGACGGGAAGGUUUGGCACCUCGAUGUCGGCUCAUCGCAUCCUGGGGCUGAAGCAGGUCCCAAGGGUUGGGCUGUUCGCCCAUUAAAGCGGUACACGAGCUGGGUUUAGAACGUCGUGAGACAGUUCGGUCCCUAUCCUCUGUAGCCGGAAGGAACUUGAGAAAGCCUGUCCCUAGUACGAGAGGACCGGGAUGGACGCAGCUCUGGUGUGCCAGUUGUCCUGCCAAGGGCAUUGCUGGUUAGCUACCUGCGGAAGGGAUAAGCGCUGAAAGCAUCUAAGUGCGAAGCCUGUUUCUAGAUGAGGUUCCUCACUGGGUCAACCAGGUAAGGCCCGUGGCAGAUCACCACGUUGAUAGGCCGGAGGUGUAAGCGUGGUAACACGUUCAGCCGACCGGUACUAAUCGGCCGAGGGCUUGGAUUG